CCAAAAAAGGAGGAGGUUCUCAAUUCGACUGUAUUUUUUUUUUUUUUUUUUUAUGUAUGUUACAUCAGAACUUUUGACCGGGUAGACCGAUUUCGACAAAUUUUGUUUUAAUCGAAAGGUGGUGUGUGCCAAUUGGUCACAUUUAAAUUUAUUUGAGAUCUAACAACUACUUUUCGAGCUAUAGCUAAUAAUGCGUUUUUACGUGACGCUUUUUUCGUCGACCUACGUUGUAUUAUACCGCAUAACUUUCUACUGGAUGUACCGAUUUUGAUAAUUCUUUUUUUGUUGGAAAGGGGAUAUCCCAGUUUGGUACUGUGAUAAGGAAACCAGGAUCUGAUGAUGGGAUCCCAGAGAAAUCGAGAGAAACUCUCGAAAAUCCGUAAUAACUUUUUACUGGGUGUACCGAUUUUGAUAAUUUUUAAUUUAAUCAAAAGCUAAUGUUUAUCAUGUGGUCACAUAUAAAUUUUAUGGAGAUCUGAUAACUACUUUUUGAGUAAUCUUUGAUAACGCGUAGUUGCUUGACUAUUUUUUCGUCGAUCUACGUUGUAUUACUUGUCGAUGUAAUUGAAGUCGGUUUUUUUUUCGUUUGCGGGCA
rnacentral:misc_RNA from 1 species